ACCUACUCAUACUGUAUCUACCUUUUUUAGAAUUUUCGUCUGUCUGUCUCUCUGUCGGUUUGUACCUUUAUAACUAAUCAACCACUUAUCUGAUUGAGAUGAAAUUUUUUAUACAUAUACAAGAUGCUGUCACUUAAAAUAUAGGCUACUUUUUAAAUCAAUUAUAAAUCAGAAUUCGGAUUAGAUUUUGUUUCAUUUAUCAAUUGUUUCUGUCAAUUGAAUCGUCUAUCACAUUUCAUUAAGCAGUCAAAAUAAGAGUGUCUAAUCUGACUUAUUUGUAACUAAGAUUAAAAAGACAAAAUUACGUAUCUUACGCAAUAUGUAAAAUAAAUGAAGAUCAUAACCUAUAAAUAAUCAUUUAUAUUAUUUAUAAACAAUUUUUGUGCAUUAACUUAUAUAAAAAAUUGGAUUCAAAAGAUAAAGAUAAGUACUUGAUUUCACUUAGUUAUCUAUAGUAAUUUUUAUUUUUGUAUGCUAAGGUAACCAAGAUUGACCAAUUCAAUAUAACUUAUCGUAAUUAAUAAUUUUAUAUUUUAGAUAUGUAUCGUUAUUAUUCGUUAUAUUUUCAUUAAAAAUGCCUAAAAAACGAAAAUCAAAUUUGAGUUCAUCAUCAGCCAAAGCAAGAAGCAACAAACUUCUUCGCCUAUCUGAAACUCAAUGUGAACGAGACGAGAGACUGAAAAUUCAGAAAGAAAGGAAAAGUAAUUUACGAGCUAAUGAAACACCAGAACAAUCUGAA